CUCGUUCCCCACUCGCUCCGCUACCCACCGCCCUCUCCCGGACGUCGUCGUGUCUCUCCGUCUCACCGCCCUGUAUCCGUCGCUGUCGUGUCGCUCCCGCGUCACCACCCUCUUCCUCCCCAAUCCCCACGGCCGCCUUGCUCCCCAUCACCUGUGCCCACUUUGACAGCCCCCAACCCUAGUUCUCUCACACCCCGUAGGUCAAAGGUUGAAUUUGUAUCCGCCGCUGAUGGUGCUGCUGGGCGAUGACACACUUGAUUUGAGUUCGUCGGCGCUGGAUCCGCGUGCGCCGGCGCUUGAUCUUCUCCGUCGUGGCUCCGGGACAGGAAGGCUACCCCGACGACAUAUAGGAUCACAAAGGAAUAUCAAAUGUAGCACUAGCUGAAUGUCCAUUGAUCCCACUAUUGGUGCCAGAAGUGGACCAGUCAGAAGAGGAAGUAGUGGAUAAAACAAGAAUCCAUGACCACAUCAGCAAUCUUCGGUUCUCUCUAUCACCAACCGCAUUUUUUCAGGUUAAUACUCUUGCUGCAGAAAGAUUGUACACCCUUGCUAGCGAUUGUGCCAAUCUCAAUUCAGACACAUUACUUUUUGACGUAUGCUGUGGGACUGGAACAAUUGGCCUGACAUUAGCACAUCAUGUUGUAAUGGUUGUUGGAAUUGAAAUGAAUGAAUCAGCAGUUUUGGAUGCUCAGAGAAAUGCUCUUAUUAACGGUAUGAAAAAUUGUCAUUUUGUCUGCAGGAAGGCUGAAGAUGUGAUGGGGUCUCUCCUCACAGAGUAUCUUGGUUUGCUACAGCAGUGCAUUGCAGCUUUUGGAAGUAAUUCAGAAGUUAAUGCUUCAGGGAAAAAGAGGAUAUAGUUGGUGGUGCAGAGAAUAAUGGUAAAAGUAUGGAUAGCUCAACAUAGAAAAAUGACAAUGGUGAAAAUCAACAGUUGGGAGACAAAUUAGCCAAUCAUCCAACUUGUUCUAGCGAUGAGAAAAAUGAGGACUUGAAUGAUGGGGUUAGCAAAGAGUUGGAAGGUGGACAUUUGCAAUGCAAUGAGGCUGUUCCUAAACGAAAUAGCGAGGAAGCAUCAUCAUUGGUGAAUGAGGACUCCAUUGAUGCAAAAGCAGCUGACUGUUUAGAGCACACCAAAACACGCGAGGAUGGUUCUUCGAUCUCUAACAAUGACGUGCUUGCAACUAAUGCAUCUCAGUUCAAGAACUUUGUUACUAUUGUAGACCCUCCACGUGUUAGGCUUCAGCCUACUGUAAGUAAAUUUCUCUCUUUAGUUUUCUUACCAUAAAUAUUAUUUACUUUUAUGUUUGGAAAUGCUUAUGUUUAACAUUUGCCAAUGGAGAAAUGAUACACAUCCCUUGGUUCACCGUUGGUUUUAACUUCCAUCAUUAUUUGAAUUUGACCAGCAUGUUAUAGUUGACACUUUGGGAAAGAUUUAGUCAGCACAUUGGUAAUUUAGUCAGAUAUAAUGCCAUUUUGGAGAUGCCAUAUGAAGAUUUUAGGGUUGUAAUGUAAUUUAGUCAGAAAACACAUAAUGUUGAUUACUUUGAGCCUUUGAGUUAGAAGGUAUACCCAUCUCUUUGCAGUGUGCUCUUAAUACACUCUUCCCUUCACCAUGCUGAGAUGUUUAAGUCUUUCCACUUAUCAGUUUUUAAUUCCAUUUGAAGUGAUGCAUAUUCAAAUCAUUUUCCAGUCCUUUGAGCUGUUGAAUGAAUAAAUGACAACGUAUUAGCAUCACAACCAAACAGUAACAGAAAUCGUCUUAUCAAAAGAUGGUGUAGUGGGACUAAUGACUAACCAUAGCAUUGAGGUUU